UACAGGGGGGGCAAGCGUUGUUCGGAAUUACUGGGCGUAAAGGGCUCGUAGGCGGCCAACUAAGUCACACGUGAAAUCCCCAGGCUUAACCUGGGAACUGCGUGUGAUACUGGAUGGCUUGAAUCCGGGAGAGGGAUGCGGAAUUCCAGGUGUAGCGGUGAAAUGCGUAGAUAUCUGGAGGAACACCGGUGGCGAAGGCGGCACUCUGGGUCGGCCCUGACGCUGAGGCGCGAAAGCGUGGGGAGCGAACGGG
rnacentral:rRNA from 1 species